rnacentral:rRNA from 1 species
ACUUCUUUAUCACCGAGUGCUUGCACUCACCGAUAAAGAGUUGAGUGGCGAACGGGUGAGUAACACGUGGGCAACCUGCCCAAAAGAGGGGGAUAACACUUGGAAACAGGUGCUAAUACCGCAUAACCAUAGUUACCGCAUGGUAACUAUGUAAAAGGUGGCUACGCUACCGCUUUUGGAUGGGCCCGCGGCGCAUUAGCUAGUUGGUGGGGUAAAGGCUUACCAAGGCAAUGAUGCGUAGCCGAACUGAGAGGUUGAUCGGCCACAUUGGGACUGAGACACGGCCCAAACUCCUACGGGAGGCAGCAGUAGGGAAUCUUCCACAAUGGGCGAAAGCCUGAUGGAGCAACGCCGCGUGGGUGAAGAAGGUCUUCGGAUCGUAAAACCCUGUUGUUAGAGAAGAAAGUGCGUGAGAGUAACUGUUCACGUUUCGACGGUAUCUAACCAGAAAGCCACGGCUAACUACGUGCCAGCAGCCGCGGUAAUACGUAGGUGGCAAGCGUUAUCCGGAUUUAUUGGGCGUAAAGGGAACGCAGGCGGUCUUUUAAGUCUGAUGUGAAAGCCUUCGGCUUAACCGGAGUAGUGCAUUGGAAACUGGGAGACUUGAGUGCAGAAGAGGAGAGUGGAACUCCAUGUGUAGCGGUGAAAUGCGUAGAUAUAUGGAAGAACACCAGUGGCGAAAGCGGCUCUCUGGUCUGUAACUGACGCUGAGGUUCGAAAGCGUGGGUAGCAAACAGGAUUAGAUACCCUGGUAGUC